CCAAGAGAUUUAGUUCGACCCGUAUCCGGACGGGUACCCCAAAUUGGCAAUGGCCCUGUUUUGGUGUUACCAAGAAAAAAAAAACACACGACCCGUUUUCUCUCUCCAGACGUAUUGAUUUAGCCAUACUUCACAUAUUUGCUUGUAUCCAUGUAUUUAUUCAGAGUCUUUUUUGCUUGACAAUCGCCAUUAAAGAACAGGAGAGCCCACUUUCAACCACAUCACAGGAAAUAAAACUGAGAGAGCCCCACUGUAAAAGACCCACCUUUCACGGUGAAAUGGCCAACAUAGAGAUAGAAGAGGAAGCCAUUGAUGGAUCUUGGGGAGCUUAGAGAGAGAGAGGGGGUGAAAUUUGUCGAAAAGGAGUUGGGCUUUUUGCAAGGGGAUGGCUUAUUGAGCUAGAAAGAGAAGCCAUGGCUGGAUCUUAGUGGAUCUCGCUGCUGUUUUAGAUGCUGCUCCUCCUUCCCAUCUUCUUACAAAUGAGAGUGUGGAUCUCACACUCUCUCUCUCAUCUCACCAGUCCCAUCAAAACCCCCCUGUCUCUCUUUUCAUGAUGAUCUCUACAAAUCUCAAGCUCUCACAAUCAAAACUCUUUUUUUUUUUUUCUGCGAAUCGAACCCUCUUUGAAGAGAGGGUGCCGUUCAUAUAAAGAUGCAAAUCAAACCCUCAUCUCACCCCAUCAAACCCCUCUGUCUCUCUCUCUAAAGCUCACCCAUCAAACCCGUCUGUCUCUCUCUAAAGCUCACCCAGUAGAUUGUAAUGUAUUAAUAAAACUAAGGAUGGGUUACCCGACAGGUCGGGCGUGGCAGGCCUGUACCCAGACCCGGGAAUAAGCGGAUAUGAGAUAUUGGACCUGGACCCUACCUAUGGGUCCAAAACUAGG
rnacentral:lncRNA from 1 species